GACGAACGCUGGCGGCGUGCUUAACACAUGCCAGUCGAACGGAAAGGCCCUGCUUUUGUGGGGUGCUCGAGUGGCGAACGGGUGAGUAACACGUGAGUAACCUGCCUUGACUUUGGGAUUACUUUAAGAAACUGGGGCUAAUACCGGAAAGGAACUCCUGCUGCAUGGGGGGGGGUGGGAAGUUUCGGCGGUUGGGGAUGGACUCGCGGCUUAUCAGCUUGUUGGUGGGGUAGUGGCUUACCAAGGCUUUGACGGGUAGCCGGCCUGAGAGGGUGACCGGCCACAUUGGGACUGAGAUACGGCCCAGACUCCUACGGGAGGCAGCAGUGGGGAAUAUUGCACAAUGGGCGGAAGCCUGAUGCAGCAACGCCGCGUGCGGGAUGACGGCCUUCGGGUUGUAAACCGCUUUCGCCUGUGACGAAGCGUGAGUGACGGUAAUGGGUAAAGAAGCACCGGCCAACUACGUG
rnacentral:rRNA from 1 species